GACGUAGGGCGCGAGCGUUGUCCGGAUUUAUUGGGCGUAAAGAGCUCGUAGGCGGCUUGUCGCGUCGAAUGUGAAAACUCGGGGCUCAACUCCGAGCUUGCAUUCGAUACGGGCAGGCUAGAGUUCGGUAGGGGAGGACUGGAAUUCCUGGUGUAGCGGUGAAAUGCGCAGAUAUCAGGAGGAACACCGGUGGCGAAGGCGGGUCUCUGGGCCGAUACUGACGCUGAGGCGCGAAAGCGUGGGUAGCAAACGGG
rnacentral:rRNA from 1 species